rnacentral:rRNA from 1 species
CUACGGGUCGCAGCAGUGGGGAAUAUUGCACAAUGGGGGAAACCCUGAUGCAGCAACGCCGCGUGGAGGAUGACGCAUUUCGGUGUGUAAACUCCUUUUAUAUAGGAAGAUAAUGACGGUACUAUAUGAAUAAGCACCGACUAACUCCGUGCCAGCAGCCGCGGUAAUACGGAGGGUGCAAGCGUUACUCGGAAUCACUGGGCGUAAAGCGCGCGCAGGCGGCCUUUUAAGUUGGAUGUGAAAGCCUAUGGCUUAACCAUAGAACUGCAUCCAAAACUAUCAGGCUAGAGUCUGGGAGGGGAAGAUGGAAUUAGUUGUGUAGGGGUAAAAUCCGUAGAGAUAACUAGGAAGACCAAAAGCGAAGGCGAUCUUCUGGAACAGUACGUACGCUGAGGCGCGAAAGCGUGGGGAGCAAACAGGAUUAGAUACCCUAGUAGUC